rnacentral:rRNA from 1 species
CAGCAGCCGCGGUAAUACGUAGGUGGCAAGCGUUGUCCGGAAUUAUUGGGCGUAAAGGGCUCGCAGGCGGUUUCUUAAGUCUGAUGUGAAAGCCCCCGGCUCAACCGGGGAGGGUCAUUGGAAACUGGGAAACUUGAGUGCAGAAGAGGAGAGUGGAAUUCCACGUGUAGCGGUGAAAUGCGUAGAGAUGUGGUGGAACACCAGUGGCGAAGGCGACUCUCUGGUCUGUAACUGACGCUGAGGAGCGAAAGCGUGGGGAGCGAACAGGAUUAGAUACCCGUGUAGUCCCUGUCUCUUAUAC